rnacentral:tRNA from 1 species
UCCCUGGUGGCUCAGAUGGUAAAGCAUCUGCCUGCAAUGCAGGAGACCCGGGUUCGAUUCCUGGCUCGGGAA